GUGCUUGCUUCGGCAGCACAUACACUAAGAUUGGAACCAUACAGAGAAGAUUGGCCUGGCCCCUGUGCAAGGCUGGCAAACAAAUUCGUGAAGCGUUCCCUGUUUUU
ensembl:snRNA U6 U6 spliceosomal RNA